UGGGGAAUUUUGGACAAUGGGGGAAACCCUGAUCCAGCCAUCCCGCGUGUGCGAAGAAGGCCUUCGGGUUGUAAAGCACUUUUGGCAGGAAAGAAACGUCAUGGGUUAAUACCCCGUGAAACUGACGGUACCUGCAGAAUAAGCACCGGCUAACUACGUGCCAGCAGCCGCGGUAAUACGUAGGGUGCAAGCGUUAAUCGGAAUUACUGGGCGUAAAGCGUGCGCAGGCGGUUCGGAAAGAAAGAUGUGAAAUCCCAGAGCUCAACUUUGGAACUGCAUUUUUAACUGCCGGGCUAGAGUGUGUCAGAGGGAGGUGGAAUUCCGCGUGGAGCAGUGAAGUGCGUAGAUAUGCGGAGGAACACCGAUGGCGAAGGCAGCCUCCUGGGAUAACACUGACGCUGAUGCACGAGAGCGUGGGGAGCAAACAGG
rnacentral:rRNA from 1 species